rnacentral:ncRNA from 1 species
GAAUGUACUAGCCCUGAAAAUGGAUGGCGCUCAAGCGUCUCACCCAUACCUCGCCCUCAGGGUUGAAAUGAUGCCCUGAGGAGUAGGCGGACGUAGAGGUCAGUGACGAAGCCUAGGGCGUGAGCCCGGGUAGAACGGCCUCUAGUGCAGAUCUUGGUGGUAGUAGCAAAUACUUCAAUGAGAACUUGAAGGGCCGAAGUGGGGAAAGGUUCCAUGUGAACAGCGGUUGGACGUGGGUCAGUCGAUCCUAAGCUAU